GGGAUCAUCAAGUGGUGAUGGAGAUUUUGGACAUUUUCGAGGUCACUUGCUCUUUGAGUUUCUUGAACAGGAUCCACCAUUCAUUCGUGAACCUUUAUCUGAUAAGAUUUCAGAUCUUGCACGGUGUUUCCCUGCAUUGAAGUCCCUUCGAAGUUGUGAUCUUUUGCCAUCCAGUUGGAUAUCAGUUGCAUGGUAUCCUAUAUAUCGAAUUCCUAAUGGCCCUACAUUGAAGGAUCUGGAUGCUUGCUUUUUGACCUUUCAUUCUCUUUCCACACUGAUGAAAGGUAACUAUCAUCUUUUGCA